GCGGGACUCGUGAAAUCUCGUGUGAAUCUGCCAAGACCACUUGGUAAGCCUAAAUACUACUUGAUGACCGAUAGUGCAUAGUACCGUGAGGGAAUGGUGAAAAGUACCCCGGGAGGGGAGUGAAAUAGUACCUGAAACCGUGUGCCUGUAAGCCGUCAGAGCCUUGUGGGGUGAUGGCGUGCCUUUUGAAGAAUGAGCCUGCGAGUUAGUGAUACGUGGCGUGCUUAACCCGUGUGGGGUAUGCGUAGCGAAAGCGAGUCUGAAAGAUGGCGUUUGUCGCGUGUUCUAGACCCGAAGCGGGGUGAUCUACCCAUGGUCAGGUUGAAGCAGAGGUAAGACUGUGUGGAGGACCGAACCCACCAGGGUUGAAAACCUGGGGGAUGAACUGUGGGUAGGGGUGAAAGGCCAAUCAAACUCCGUGAUAGCUGGUUCUCCCCGAAAUGCAUUUAGGUGCAGCGUUGCGUGGUCCCUGGUGGAGGUAGAGCUACUGGAUGGCCGAUGGGCCCUGUGGGUUACUGACGUCAGCCAAACUCCGAAUGCCAUUAGGUGUAGCGUGGCAGUGAGACUGCGGGGGAUAAGCUUCGUAGUCGAGAGGGAAACAGCCCAGAUCAUCAGCUAAGGCCCCUAAGCGUGCGCUAAGUGGGAAAGGAUGUGGAGUCGCGGUGACAACCAGGAGGUUGGCUUAGAAGCAGCCAUCCUUGAAAGAGUGCGUAAUAGCUCACUGGUCAAGUGGUUCUGCGCCGACAAUGUAGCGGGGCUCAAGCGUACCGCCGAAGCUGUGGCAACAAUGCGUGAUGCUGGCGCCAGGAACUGGAGUGCUGGUGUGUUGUUGGGUAGGGGAGCGUCCUGCACGAGGUGAAGCCUGGAGGGAACUUCUGGUGGAUUGUGUGGGAGUGAGAAUGCAGGCAUGAGUAACGAAUCUGCGGUGAGAAUCCGCAGCGCCGAUUGACUAAGGGUUCCAGGGCUAGGUUUAUCCGCCCUGGGUUAGUCGGGUCCUAAGGCGAGGCCGACAGGCGUAGUCGAUGGACAACCAGUUGAUAUUCUGGUACCGCGUUAUGACCGCCCAUGCUGAAGUCAUUGUGCUAACCAAUCUGCCCGCCUCCCGCUGGGCUUUCGGGUCUGGUGGUGUGUGUGGGUCUUGGGGUCCCGGUGAUUGUAGGCAAGCGUGUUAACAGGGGUGACGCAGACAGGUAGCUGCAGUGCGCCGAUGGUUGUGCGUAUUUAAGGUUGUGGCCCGUCUCUCAGGUAAAUCCGGGGGACACUGUGGGUGAGAACUGAUGAGGGUGACACGAUAGUGUCGUCUUGUGGUGAUCCUAUGCUGCCGAGAAAAGCCUCGACGUGAGGGCAUGACGCGCCCGUACCCUAAACCGACUCAGGUGGUCAGGUAGAGUAUACCGAGGCGUUCGAGUGAAUCGUGGUUAAGGAACUCGGCAAAAUUCCUCCGUAACUUCGGGAUAAGGAGGACCCCGUGACUUCCCUCCGCUUCGCGCGGUGGUGGGGUUGUGGGGUCGCAGAGAAUAGGGAGAAGCGACUGUUUAUCAAAAACACAGGUGCGUGCGAAGCCGUAAGGCGAUGUAUACGCACUGACGCCUGCCCGGUGCUGGAAGGUUAAGAGGAACUGUUAACACUCCUUUUGUGGGUGUGAAGCGGUGAAUUUAAGCCCCAGUAAACGGCGGUGGUAACUAUAACCAUCCUAAGGUAGCGAAAUUCCUUGUCGGGUAAGUUCCGACCUGCACGAAUGGCGUAACGACUUCUCCGCUGUCUC
rnacentral:rRNA from 1 species